rnacentral:rRNA from 1 species
AACGAACGCUGGCGGCAUGCCUAACACAUGCAAGUCGAACGAGAUCUUCGGGUCUAGUGGCGCACGGGUGCGUAACGCGUGGGAAUCUGCCCUUUGGUUCGGAAUAACAGUUGGAAACGACUGCUAAUACCGGAUGAUGACGAAAGUCCAAAGAUUUAUCGCCAGAGGAUGAGCCCGCGUAGGAUUAGCUAGUUGGUGUGGUAAAGGCACACCAAGGCGACGAUCCUUAGCCGGUCUGAGAGGAUGAUCAGCCACACUGGGACUGAGACACGGCCCAGACUCCUACGGGAGGCAGCAGUGAGGAAUAUUGGACAAUGGGCGAAAGCCUGAUCCAGCAAUGCCGCGUGAGUGAUGAAGGCCUUAGGGUUGUAAAGCUCUUUUACCCGGGAUGAUAAUGACAGUACCGGGAGAAUAAGCUCCGGCUAACUCCGUGCCAGCAGCCGCAGUAA